UUAUAUGCUAUGAAAGUAAGAGUAAAAUAACAUUCUUUUCUCAGAGAGAUAGUGUUUGGUGAAAACUAUUAUUAGAAUUUAUUUGAAAAACAUACUGGAGCUGUUGGAAGAAAAAUAGUAGACCCAACCGUUUAGUCUCGUUAUCGACAAUUGAGAGCAAUUUAGAAUUUACUUCUAGAUUGAAUUAAGGUGGCACCGCGGAAUAUUCGUCCUUAAG
rnacentral:ncRNA from 1 species